AGCAGCAGCCGCGGGAAUACGUAGGUGGCAAGCGUUGUCCGGAAUUAUUGGGCGUAAAGGGCUCGCAGGCGGUUUCUUAAGUCUGAUGUGAAAGCCCCCGGCUCAACCGGGGAGGGUCAUUGGAAACUGGGAAACUUGAGUGCAGAAGAGGAGAGUGGAAUUCCACGUGUAGCGGUGAAAUGCGUAGAGAUGUGGAGGAACACCAGUGGCGAAGGCGACUCUCUGGUCUGUAACUGACGCUGAGGAGCGAAAGCUUGGGGAGCGAACAGGAUUAGAUACCCCUGUAGUCCCUGUCUCUUAUAC
rnacentral:rRNA from 1 species